CACUGCCUCGUCCGCCAUUGGGGAGCCGCGGUCGCUCAACUCGAGGUGGAAUCCUGCCGACUACGCCAAAAUCUGUCACAGGCCGGAGCGGACCACCAAUUCAACGGGUCUCGCUCCUCCCUCUAACUUCCACCUCGAGGAGGUCCCACAACACCCCAAUGAAUGGACGGACAACCAAGAUUAAAAUGUAACAAUUUUAUUUGUUUAAAAGUUUGGGGAAAGGGGUAAGGAAACUUUAAAACUAAUGAUGACUCGAACUAUUCUUUAUCCACAAAUACGGAUUCCAGUCUCAAGAACACUCCUCUUCAGCCCUUCCUCGACAACACUCCACUUCAGCCCUUAAUUUCCCGCCGACUCCACUCCAGGUAAGUUUAAAGCAAGAGCUAGGCAGUUGACGUGCAGGGGUUCUAGCUCUCAGGUAAAUACAGUGUUCGAUACACAGGUGGGUAUUCACAGGGCUGGGCUGUUAGCGUGCAGGGGUUCUAGCUCUCAGGUAAGUACAGUGUUCGAUACACAGGUAAGUAUUCACAGGGCUGGGCUGUUAGCGUGCAGGGGUUCUAGCUCUCAGGUAAGUACAGUGUUCGAUACACAGGUAAGUAUUCACAGGGCUGAGCUGUUAGCGUGCAGGGGUUCUAGCUCUCAAUGUAAGUACAGUGUUCCAUACACAGGUGAGUAUUCACGGGGCUGGGCUGUUAAUGCGCUACUCACCACUGAAGAUAUUCAGAGGUCUGUAUUCCAAGCAGAUACGGGUUUAGUCGAUGACUGACGGCUGGUGGGCCUUACAGGUGAAACUGCAAACAAUACUGGGC